GGGUAACCUACCCAUCAGAGGGGGAUAACACUUGGAAACAGGUGCUAAUACCGCAUAAUAGUCAACACCGCAUGGUGUUGAUUUGAAAGACGCUUUCGGGUGUCACUGAUGGAUGGACCCGCGGUGCAUUAGCUAGUUGGUGAGGUAACGGCUCACCAAGGCCAUGAUGCAUAGCCGACCUGAGAGGGUGAUCGGCCACACUGGGACUGAGACACGGCCCAGACUCCUACGGGAGGCAGCAGUAGGGAAUCUUCGGCAAUGGACGAAAGUCUGACCGAGCAACGCCGCGUGAGUGAAGAAGGUUUUCGGAUCGUAAAACUCUGUUGUUAGAGAAGAACAAGUAGGAGAGUAACUGCUCUUACCUUGACGGUAUCUAACCAGAAAGCCACGGCUAACUACGUGCCAGCAGCCGCGGUAAUACGUAGGUGGCAAGCGUUGUCCGGAUUUAUUGGGCGUAAAGCGAGCGCAGGCGGUUUCUUAAGUCUGAUGUGAAAGCCCCCGGCUCAACCGGGGAGGGUCAUUGGAAACUGGGAGACUUGAGUGCAGAAGAGGAGAGUGGAAUUCCAUGU
rnacentral:rRNA from 1 species